rnacentral:rRNA from 2 species
GGCGGGUUUGAUAAGUCUGAUGUGAAAGCCUUUGGCUUAACCAAAGAAGUGCAUCGGAAACUGUCAGACUUGAGUGCAGAAGAGGACAGUGGAACUCCCAUGUGUAGCGGUGGAAUGCGUAGAUAUAUGGAAGAACACCAGUGGCGAAGGCGGCUGUCUGGUCUGCAACUGACGCUGAGGCUCGAAAAGCAUGGGUAGCGAACAGGAUUAGAUACCCUGGUAGUCCAUGCCGUAAAACGAUGAGUGCUAGGUGUUGGAGGGUUUCCGCCCUUCAGUGCCGCAGCUAACGCAUUAAGCACUCCGCCUGGGGAGUACGACCGCAAGGUUGAAACUCAAAGGAAUUGACGGGGGCCCGCACAAGCGGUGGAGCAUGUGGUUUAAUUCGAAGCUACGCGAAGAACCUUACCAGGUCUUGACAUCUUGCGCCAACCCUAGAGAUAGGGCGUUUCCUUCGGGAACGCAAUGACAGGUGGUGCAUGGUCGUCGUCAGCUCGUGUCGUGAGAUGUUGGGUUAAGUCCCGCAACGAGCGCAACCCUUGUUACUAGUUGCCAGCAUUCAGUUGGGCACUCUAGUGAGACUGCCGGUGACAAACCGGAGGAAGGUGGGGACGACGUCAGAUCAUCAUGCCCCUUAUGACCUGGGCUACACACGUGCUACAAUGGACGGUACAACGAGUCGCGAACUCGCGAGGGCAAGCUAAUCUCUUAAAACCGUUCUCAGUUCGGACUGCAGGCUGCAACUCGCCUGCACGAAGUCGGAAUCGCUAGUAAUCGCGGAUCAGCAUGCCGCGGUGAAUACGUUCCCGGGCCUUGUACACACCGCCCGUCACACCAUGAGAGUUUGCAACACCCAAAGUCGGUGGGGUAACCCUUCGGGGAGC